UUUCUUGUGUAUGUAUGCCUCUAAGGCUCGAAUUGAAGUGAAACAUAAUUCAACCGACAAAUAAAAUGCAAAAUCUAAAUCUUCCUCCACCAACGCAACUUCGAAAUCCGAACCCAUUUUCCGAUCAGCACCGUCUAAUAGCCUUCACCACCCCGGAAAACUAUGCCACCAGACUCUCCACCAUCAUUCACCAAAAAGGGUGGACCCCACUGUGGUGCCCCACAGUCAUUAUUGAGCCCACCCCUGAACCCAUCAAACACUUUUUGUCAUUUCAAUCUAAAACCCCAUUAGACCAAUUCUCAGCCAUAGCUUUCACUUCAAGAACGGGUAUCUCAUCUUUCUCACAGGCAUUAUCACAAACACAAAGCCACCCAUUGUCACCAAAUGGUGAUACAUUUAUUAUCUCAGCUCUUGGUAAAGAUUCUGAGCUUCUUGACUCCUCUUUUAUAAGUAAAUUAUGUGAAAACCCGGACAGAGUCCGGAUUUUGAUACCUCCCGUAGCGAGUCCACGUAUGAUGGUGGAAUCGCUUCGGGAGGGAACCGGACGGAAGAUAUUAUGUCCGGUUCCUUCAGUAAUAGGUUUGGAGGAGCCACCCGUGGUUCCAGAGUUUUUAAAAGAUUUGGCAGAAAAAGGGUGGGUGGUGGUGAGAGUGAAUGCUUACGAGACGAGGUGGGCAGGGCCACAUUGUGCGGAGGAUGUUGUUAAAUGGGGUGAUGAGAAUAGAUUGGAUGCAAUAGUGUUUACUAGUAGUGGGGAAGUUGAGGGGUUUUUGAAGGGGUUAAAAGAGAUGGGUUUGGAUUGGGGGAGGCUGAGGAGGCGGUGGAGGAGGUUGGUUGUGGCGGCUCAUGGGCCGGUUACUGCUGCUGGAGCUGAGAGGUUAGGGGUGGGAGUGGAUGUGGGAACAACAAUAAAAUGAUUCUUUAUGAAAAUUGACUGAGGAAGUGUAUGUAUUUCUCCUGUUUGCGUUAUUGAUCAAAUCCUUACCAUUAACAAGGCCAGAAGCAGGCCCUCGGGCUCCCAAUACGGCAGUUCUUUUUUUCUGCUUGUGUGCAAAUAUUCUUCAGCUGCCUCUUGCCGCGGCCCAUUUCCAUCAAAGUGGAUGGUGAAAAAUGGGAUGUUUCAGACUAGUCAACCAACACAAUAUCCUCUCUGUCACCCUGAUGUCAGUGAUGAAGUCUGUAGCACAGUCACUUGAAGAUUUUUCACCGGAAAUUAAACGCCAGAAUACUGGCAUCAUACCUGGAACUGGGUACAUAACACCUUCUCCGACCAACCCUCUUUACAAGGCAUUUUCCGCAUGUCUUACCCUGAAGAUAUUAAUACUUUUUGCUCUCAGUUAAAUGCCUCUCCCAGCCAAAGGUAUCAUUUCAAGUUCGUCUAGACCUGUAGUUUGAUCUUGAAGUAAACCUGAAAAUUUUAUGAUUGAAGUUCAUUUAUUGAAAAGUCUUUUACAUGGAUUAAAAAUGAAGACAUAACCCAUAUAUCUUCUCCUAGAGCAGGCAUGUGGAUAAAAUGUACACCAACUAUACUUGUUGUAAUAAAGAUUGUGUAUUUGGCCUUUUUAACGGUACUGAAUACACUUGUAGAAAACUCUUAUCCAUUUAAGAUCAAAUUACUCAUGUACAGCAGGGGUUAGGCGUUCGUCUGAUACAUAUGUAGAGCAGGGGCUGGAGGCCAUGGACAAGUCCGGAGCUUUAAUUCGUCCCGGCUGAUCCUUGGCCAGGUUGUGUUAAUUUGCAUUCGUAAUGAACACUGGACUGUUCUUAUGAUUAUGAGAUUGUAGAUAAUAUUCAUGGUGCAGUGUUGAAUCUUUUGUUACAAGAGCUUGUUACUACUCCAUUUUUUCGAUACUCCAGGGCCUGGAUGGUUGAGAAUUUGAGAUCCUUUUGUUCAACACUAGACAUUGCUGGCAAUAUUCCAGGGCUAAUAUGGUAACAAAAGGUUGAGGGUUGGCUUAAUGGAGGUAAUAAGUGUGACUGAAUAUUUUUCUGCAGAAGAAAUUACAGUAGCAGCAAAAUGGAGACUUGUUCGUUUGUCUUUAAUCUGUUCCAGGAAAUCAUCAAAGUCAAAUAAUAUUAAUUGACAUACCCCAUUAAGUUGAUAAUUGUCUUGUUGGCAGAGAGUUAGUGUCAAUCCUUAAAGUUCUGGGUUCCGAAAAAUGAUAACAUAAAAGGCCCCUGUCGAAAACCUGAAUUGGAUAUUUUUAUGGAUGGUAGGGUGUCUAGAAAUGUCAGAGUUAAAUUAGUGGAGAGAACAAGCAUCUUCUUGUUUUGCAUAAACAUCAACUUAGUAGUGCCAUUUUUUGGAAUGGAUGAUAUCUGAAUUGACUAUAUAUGCCAUGAUUUUACACAUUAUUACCUUAGAUGUUGGCUGGUGGCCUAAUUGGAAUUUUAUAUCGUAAAUUUUCAUGAUAGUGUUGAAUGUUACUUGUAUGUAGUUUGUGUAAUGAGAAUGACAGCAAAGAUUAAUUCAAAAAGAAAAUGACAUCUGAAGUAGACUUGAACACUGAAUUGGAGAGAGUUGUAGUGAUGCAUAUCUACAGUUGAACGGUUGGACGAUAAUUUAUUUCUCAACCAAUACAGAUAAGUGGGCAACCAUGUUAGUUGAGUGACCAUGAAAUUUAUGCAGUAUGAUGUCGCUAGAUCAAGAAUUUAUUAGCACCGCAAGGUCAAUAAUGAGGAAAUUAAACCCUCACGCGUACUUGACUCUGCUGCCACUCAGGCUUCAACCUCGACCUCAUGUUACCAAAAGAGGGGGUUGUAUACUAAGCUAAAAUGCUAGGGAUAGGAGUAGCACAAUGUGUUUGAGCACCGAAUUUCAGAAUGAACUUUUAGCCUUCUUAUAGAUAGGUUUUCACUAGGACUACAAGGGUGCAAGUAUGCUAUUUUUAACAAUUUUAUGACCAUAAAUUGUAGAUUCUGAAACUCGUUCAUGAAUAUCAGUCAAUAUAUCUAUGUCAUGUCACAAGGUUUUUGUAUUUAAUUGCCAAAGGUUUAUUCUGCGGACGUUUAGGAAAUCCAGAAUUGAAUAAAACUGUAUAUAAUCUGGCCUGCUGCAUUGGUUGUAUCUGAUGACUGGAAUAUAGUGUUGACCUUUUUCGAUUGCUUCCAAGUAUUUGUAUAUUUAUUCCUAAUGCAGGAAAGAAAUAAAUAACUAACUCAAUUGCAAGGAUUUGAUUACAUCCUCAAUACUUGAAUGAUUGUUAUUUCAAAACUUCAGUAGAAUGAUUGUAAUGCCCAACAUAUGUAACUUGAAAACAACACAGAACAAUGAGAAACAGCUGACCAUACUAAGAGACACCGAAAUAUAAAUUAAACUACUUGCUUCAAAUUUGUCUCGGCUUUAUUUGAAAAUAAAGGUAAGGCUUAGAAUUUAAAAAACAUGCAGAAUAUAAGAAUUACAUGAUGAUAUAAUAUGCAGAUAUAGGAUUGCAUAAAUGAAUACUAAAGGAGAAGGAUUGCAAGUUUCAUCUAAACUUUUAUGUGACUCUCUUUUAUUUCCCUUUGUGGCAAUUUUUCUUUAUUAACAGAAACUAAAACCCAUUUAUACCAGUCAUUUUAUCAGCUGAUUUAUAGCACAUACAGUUGUCUGAGUAUCAAGUAAUAUCUUUUUUAAGAUGCAGUUAAAGGGCUUCUCCUAUAUAUAAAUCUUUCCGAGAACCAGUGUUCUCGAUCUCAUCCUCAAGAAGUUGAAAGCUUCCCGAACGACAAGAGUACUUUCAUAAGGUUAUGAUAUCAAUAUAUGUUCUCUCUUUAAAUCAACAUUAAUUUAUUUACUUUUACUUUUAACAAUGUUCAUGGUAUGAAUUGAAU